AUUCAGGUUCCUUUUCAAUACUUUUUUUUUUUUUUUAGAAAUAGAUAGCACGUUAUCUAUUUUACUUAUUUUAUUUAAAAAUAAACUUAGCUGGAAAUGUGAAUCAAUUACGAUUUGAUCUUAGGAUCUCGGAUACCAACCAUCAAAUUCUUUGCUACUUGCUCUGGGAACAGUCAGUUUCUAUUCAAUACUUAUGUUUCCUUUUAUUCGAGAAUAAAAAAGUAAUUUUU
rnacentral:lncRNA from 1 species